UACGUAGGGGGCAAGCGUUGUCCGGAUUUAUUGGGCGUAAAGAGCGUGUAGGCGGCCUGACAGGUCUGCUGUGAAAACUCGAGGCUCAACCUCGAGAUGUCGGCGGAAACCGUCUGGCUAGAGUCCGGAAGAGGAGAGUGGAAUUCCUGGUGUAGCGGUGAAAUGCGCAGAUAUCAGGAAGAACACCCGUGGCGAAGGCGGCUCUCUGGGACGGUACUGACGCUGAGACGCGAAAAGCGUGGGGGAGCAAA
rnacentral:rRNA from 1 species